CCUAAGCGAUAAUUGGUGCUUUUGAGUGUUCACACAGAUUGCUUGUUCAUAGAGCAGGCCGUUGACCCUGGUAGGUCAAUGAGUUCUUUGACAAUUUGGAAAGCUGAUAGUAGACAUCAAAACCUCUCUUCGGAGUGGAAUUGAUGCAUACAAAUUGAGUUCUCAAACACUUCAAUCAAGUGUUUUGGAAAUUCUUCAAGGCGAGUCCACUUCCUUAACCCGGAGGUGAGACAAGUAAACCUAAGCUGGUUGCAAUACUGUCCGAUGAAAACUCAUCCGGGUUGUAU
rnacentral:misc_RNA from 1 species